ensembl:misc_RNA 7SK 7SK RNA
GUGAGUUGGCAGCAGCAUCUGUCAUCUCAUUGAUCGCCAGGGUGAUACUGCUGAUCUAGCUGAUGAGGUUGUCAUCUUCCUC